rnacentral:rRNA from 1 species
UACAGAGGGUGCAAGCGUUAAUCGGAUUUACUGGGCGUAAAGCGUGCGUAGGCGGUUCAUUAAGUCGGUUGUGAAAUCCCUGGGCUUAACCUGGGAACUGCAGUCGAUACUGGUGAACUAGAGUGCGGUAGAGGGUGGCGGAACUCCGGGUGUAGCGGUGAAAUGCGUAGAUAUCCGGAAGAACACCGAUGGCGAAGGCAACCACCUGGGCCUGCACUGACGCUGAGGUACGAAAGCGUGGGGAGCAAAC